rnacentral:rRNA from 1 species
UACGUAGGGUGCGAGCGUUGUCCGGAAUUAUUGGGCGUAAAGAGCUCGUAGGCGGUGUGUCACGUCGGCCGUGAAAACCUGCAGCUUAACUGUGGGCGUGCGGUCGAUACGGGCAUCACUGGAGUUCGGCAGGGGAGACUGGAAUUCCUGGUGUAGCGGUGAAAUGCGCAGAUAUCAGGAAGAACACCCGUGGCGAAGGCGGCUCUCUGGGACGGUACUGACGCUGAGACGCGAAGGCGUGGGGAGCGAACAGG